CCUACGGGGGGCAGCAGUGAGGAAUAUUGGUCAAUGGGCGCGAGCCUGAACCAGCCAAGUAGCGUGAAGGAUGACUGCCCUACGGGUUGUAAACUUCUUUUAUAAAGGAAUAAAGUGAGGCACGUGUGCCUUUUUGUAUGUACUUUAUGAAUAAGGAUCGGCUAACUCCGUGCCAGCAGCCGCGGUAAUACGGAGGAUCCGAGCGUUAUCCGGAUUUAUUGGGUUUAAAGGGAACGUAGGUGGUGUGUUAAGUCAGAUGUGAAAGUUUGCGGCUUAACCGUAGAAGUGCAUUUGAAACUGGGAGACUUGAGUGCAGAAGAGGUGGGUGGAAUUCGUGGUGUAGCGGUGAAAUGCGUAGAUAUCACGAAGAACACCGGUGGCGAAGGCAGCUCACUGGACUGCAACUGACGCUGAGGCUCGAAAGCGUGGGUAGCAAACAGGAUUAGAUACCCGAGUAGUC
rnacentral:rRNA from 1 species